ACAUUUUGCAUGCAAAGAAAGCCAGAGUGGCUAGAUUACUCCCUUAGGGUAAUGGAGAAAGGAAAAAGAAAUUGAAAAAGGUCAGGUGAACAAAGCAGAAGGAAUGAAGAGGUUUGUGUGAUUCUUAGUGAAAUUGGACCAGUCUAAGCAACCAGACAGUGCAGUUCAGGAAACCAGGCUGAAGAAUGUGAAAUACAUCGCCCAAAGUCAGACACGGAGGAACAACUGCUUCGGAGCUAGCAAUUUCCUGAGCUGGAAUUGCACCACUGGCCUGUAGAAUCCAAACUGUUUUCUACCAGAACAACUCCUUCCCUGCAGGAAGCAGGGUGUGCACAGCUGAACCCUGGUCUGAGAAGGUUGAAGUCACUGACUCAGCCCCAGCAAGGAAGUUGCCCUUCGACUUCUGACCUCUGGCCCUGUUUGAAAACCAACUCAAAUCGUUUUUCUUUUUCAGAAGCUGCUUGCCUCCGCUUCACCUUCCACCAUGAUUGUAAGUUUCCUGAGGCCUCCCAGUCAUGCUUGCCGUUAAAACUGUGGAACUAAAAGUGACAACUUAAAAACUUUCUUUAAACAUAUCACUCUGACACCAAUGUGUAAGAUGAAGUGGACAGGAAUGGAACUGUACUGGGAGGCUCUGACAGUUCGGGUGAGAAGAAAUGAAGGGUCCUGUAAGCAGAUGAGCAGAUGAACAGAAGAGCAGAAGAGCAGCACAGCCGAGAAGGAAUGAAUGGCACAGCAGAGAAGGAGAGAAGAGAAGGAGCAUCUGAACGUUGAGAGUUCAACUAGAAAUGGUCAGAGAGGAGACUGAUCAUGGGAUAGCCAAACUCCAGGAGAAGAUUAUGUUCCCACUCCAUCCCCUUUCCAGAUCCCCAAUCCAUCCCUCUGAGAGCCACCUCUACCACUCGAUAAAACCCCUGCAUUUACCAUC
rnacentral:lncRNA from 1 species